rnacentral:tRNA from 1 species
UUUAAAGUGGCAGAUUAAGUGCAAUGAUUUUAAGAAUCUUAAAUAAUUAAUAUUCUUUAAAA